GAUGAACGCUGGCGGCGUGCCUAAUACAUGCAAGUCGAGCGAACAGACGAGGAGCUUGCUCCUCUGACGUUAGCGGCGGACGGGUGAGUAACACGUGGAUAACCUACCUAUAAGACUGGGAUAACUUCGGGAAACCGGAGCUAAUACCGGAUAAUAUAUUGAACCGCAUGGUUCAAUAGUGAAAGACGGUUUUGCUGUCACUUAUAGAUGGAUCCGCGCCGCAUUAGCUAGUUGGUAAGGUAACGGCUUACCAAGGCAACGAUGCGUAGCCGACCUGAGAGGGACGUCGGCCACACUGGAACUGAGACACGGUCCAGACUCCUACAGGAGGCAGCAGUAGGGAAUCUUACGCGAUGGGGGAAAGCGUGACGGAGCAACGCCGCGGGAGUGAUGAAGGUCUUCGGAUCGUAAAGCUCUGUUAUUAGGGGAGAACAAAUGUGUAAGUAACUGUGCACGUCUUGACGGUACCUAAUCAGAAAGCCACGGCUAACUCCGUG
rnacentral:rRNA from 1 species